rnacentral:rRNA from 1 species
AACGCGAAGAACCUUACCCAGGCUUGACAUGCAGUGGACAGCGUCAGAAAUGACGUGUUCCUUCGGGAUCGCUGCACAGGUGCUGCAUGGCUGUCGUCAGCUCGUGCCGUGAGGUGUUGGGUUAAGUCCCGCAACGAGCGCAACCCUUAUCGUUAGUUGCCAACAUUUUAGGUGGGAACUCUAGCGAGACUGCCCGGGUUAACUGGGAGGAAGGUGAGGAUGACGUCAAGUCAGCAUGGCCCUUAUGUCUGGGGCUACACACGUGCUACAAUGGCCGGUACAGAAGGCAGCCAAACCGCGAGGUGGAGCAAAUCCCAAAAAGCCGGCCCCAGUUCAGAUUGUAGUCUGCAACUCGACUACAUGAAGAUGGAAUUGCUAGUAAUGGCGAGUCAGCUACAUCGCCGUGAAUACGUUCCCGGGCCUUGUACACACCGCUCGUC